rnacentral:lncRNA from 1 species
GCAUAACAAGUGGGAAGGACACCGGCGAUUUAUACUAUCAGACCAUCACUGGACUUAAACAUGCAUUAUCAAUAUCACAACCUUCGUCGCAAAAUGACAAGCAGCAUGUGAAAUCAAAUCCUACAGAGGUUUCACAUAUCAACUCUGAUGAUAAAUCUGGCCUUGCAAAGGCAGAUGGCGACUCAGAGUCCGACGAGGAUGAAAAUGAUGAAAGUGGUUCCGGAGUGGAUUCAUCUUCUGAAAGCGAUACACAGACACCUGCAGACAGGAAAGCGGCUAGAAAAGAGAAGAGGAUGUGCAACGCAUAACAAGUGGGAAGGACACCGGCGAUUUAUACUAUCAGACCAUCACUGGACUUAAACAUGCAUUAUCAAUAUCACAACCUUCGUCGCAAAAUGACAAGCAGCAUGUGAAAUCAAAUCCUACAGAGGUUUCACAUAUCAACUCUGAUGAUAAAUCUGGCCUUGCAAAGGCAGAUGGCGACUCAGAGUCCGACGAGGAUGAAAAUGAUGAAAGUGGUUCCGGAGUGGAUUCAUCUUCUGAAAGCGAUACACAGACACCUGCAGACAGGAAAGCGGCUAGAAAAGAGAAUAAGAAGAAGGUGAAGGAAGAGAAGAGAGAAGCGCGGAAAAAUAAAAUCCCCAAGGCUGUCAAGAAAAGAAAGAAGAAGUUGGCUAAAGCCAAAAAGACAAGGUAGGCAGUUUUCGCCUUCCAGGUAGUAGGAUUUAGGUAGAAGUUAAUACACCAUAUACAAAUUGAGCAAUUUUGUUGAGUGGUUUCAAAGCAGUAUAACAGUUGCUGGUGUGGGGUUUUCUAAGUGUGUCUCACAAUUCUUAAAUAUACUAGUAAUAUAUUUGUCCACACUAUUUGCUUUUGUUUAUACUUUAGGAAACUUUUCACAUGUGCCAAUUAGUUUAUUGGUAUACCGAUAUGACAUGUACGGUUCGGUUGAUGGUCAUUAUUUUGUCGUAG